CAUAACGACUCUCGGCAACGGAUAUCUCGGCUCUCGCAUCGAUGAAGAACGUAGCGAAAUGCGAUACUUGGUGUGAAUUGCAGAAUCCCGCGAAUCAUCGAGUCUUUGAACGCAAGUUGCGCCCGAAGCCAUUCGGCCGAGGGCACGUCUGCCUGGGUGUCACGCAUCGUUGCCC
rnacentral:rRNA from 15 species